rnacentral:rRNA from 1 species
UACGGGAGGCAGCAGGGGGGAAUCUUGCGCAAUGGCCGAAAGGCUGACGCAGCGACGCCGUGUGCGGGAGGACGCCUUUCGGGGUGUAAACCGCUGUCAGGGGGGACGAACGCCGUGUUCAGGAAAUGGGAGACGGGUGACGGUACCCCCAGAGGAAGCACCGGCUAACUCCGUGCCAGCAGCCGCGGUAAUACGGAGGGUGCGAGCGUUGUUCGGAAUGACUGGGCGUAAAGCGCACGUAGGUGGUGGUUUAAGUCUCGCUGUGAAAUCCCGGGGCUCAACCCCGUGGAGGGCAGGGGAUACUGGACGACUGGAGACACGUAGAGGCAGGUGGAAUUCCGGGUGUAGCGGUGGAAUGCGUAGAGAUCCGGAAGAACACCAGUGGCGAAGGCGGCCUGCUGGGCGUGAUCUGACACUGAGGUGCGAAAGCGUGGGGAGCGAACAGGAUUAGAUACCCUGGUAGUCCACGCCGUAAACGAUGGGCACUAGAGGCUGGGGGGAUCGACCCCUUCGGUCUCGCAGCUAACGCGCUAA